rnacentral:ncRNA from 1 species
AGGCGGUGAAGCAGUGGGCUGAGUCGGUUACAGUCGAUUGUGGAGCCAGACUGUGGGUUAUGCGGAUACCACAAGCCGAAUAGGCGACGGAAAUGCUGCUGAAAUAAAACGCUAAAA